rnacentral:tRNA from 1 species
UCCAUGGUGGCUCAGAUGGUAAAGAAUCUGCCUUAAAUGCAGAAGACCAGGGUUCAAUCCCUGCAUUGGUA